GGUGUAUAUUGUGGAUCACCUGUCUCUCUCGUGUAGAUUUUGGAUCCUCUUUUCUUUUUCUCUCGAAUAUCUCGUUGAUCACUUCAUGUAUCUUUUGGAUCCUCUCAAUAUGUCCUGUAUUUUCACCUUUUGAAACAUUUUAUAGCAAGAGAAAACAUAUUAGGCAGAAAAAGAGCCGUUAGAGCAUUUUUAGGAAGCAUAAAAGGCAAUUAAAACGGGCAAAAAACUAGCCGUUGC
rnacentral:lncRNA from 1 species